rnacentral:rRNA from 1 species
UACGGAGGGUGCGAGCGUUAUCCGGAAUUACUGGGUUUAAAGGGCGCGUAGGCGGCGCGACAAGUCACUUGUGAAAUCUCCGGGCUUAACUCGGAACGGUCAAGUGAAACUGUCAUGCUAGAGUGCAGAAGGGGCAAUCGGAAUUCUUGGUGUAGCGGUGAAAUGCGUAGAUAUCAAGAGGAGCACCUGAGGUGAAGACGGGUUGCUGGGCUGACACUGACGCUGAGGCGCGAAAGCCAGGGGAGCAAACGGG